UACGAAGGGGGCUAGCGUUGUUCGGAAUUACUGGGCGUAAAGGGCGCGUAGGCGGUCCUGAUCGUCGGAUGUGAAAGGCCUGGGCUCAACCUGGGAACUGCAUCCGAUACGGCGGGACUGGAGUGUGGGAGAGGUUGGUGGAAUUCCCAGUGUAGAGGUGAAAUUCGUAGAUAUUGGGAAGAACACCGGUGGCGAAGGCGGUCUGCUGGGCAGUAGCUGACACUGAGGCGCGACAGCGUGGGGAGCAAACAGG
rnacentral:rRNA from 1 species